GCUCUCCUUCCAAAGCUGCCUACUCGCUGGAAGGUGAACCCCAACUUCAGCUUGGACCCCUUGGCUCGCCUGUCCAAGGCUGCUUGCACUGGGCUGCACCCGGGCUGCCGCCAUGCCACGGAAUCUCUAGGAGGACCACCUCCCCAUUCUUAUCCCUGGGGGAGGGUCCCCAAGCCCCCGGGCUGGAAAAGAGGCAGCACCAUCAGCAACCACAGCAUCCACAUUCAGCAACUCACCGUGAAUCCUGACCUUGUCUGGACAGCGUCCUUUGGAUUUCCCGCUCUUUGCAUAAGGCCUCGGUCUGGUGUUCCUCCCGUGUUAACCCUGAAGCGAGGGAUGAGGACAUGAGGGCUCACUCUUCUCGGUAAGAAGCAGUGAACAGUCUUCCUUUCAUGACCACCUAGAAAGCCUACCUGGAAGGUAAGUGUUAAGAUGGGCUUUGCCUGAAGAAGAACAGUGCACCUGGGCAUCUCAAGACUGCUUAAGAAUAGGAACAUCUCUUCUUGUUAUUUUCAGCUAUGUGACACUUCAUUUUUUAAUUUCAAACCAAUGAUGGAGAACAUUUUUUAGUAAGAAGAAACAUAAUAGCAACAUAUCUAAAUGAAAGGGACAGAAUUUUAGCAUUUAGUCAAUUAUUCGGUAUACCAACCUAUGCAAAAAAAUAUCUAGGAAGCUGAGGCAUAUCUUUUAUUAAUAACUUUUCAAGAAUGUUCUGACUCAUCAUAGCAACUGCACAUCUUGCUGAAUUUUAACCAGAGUGGCUCUGACAAGAUUUUCUUUCUUCUGUGCAAAUAUCCUUGACCUCCUUAAAAGGGACCACAAAUAAUUCCAAGUAGCAGAAUGAAAUCCCAAGUCCCUUUAAUUUUGUAUACAUUGCCACUAUAAUCAUCAGUGCUCAAUAAAGUGACACUGUUAUGACUUCUCAAAUCUGUCUCAGUAGAUCAGUGAAUUUUGGAGAAAAGCUUCUUUUCUCCACUUAGUUUAAUCUGUAAUUCAGUGUUCUGUAAGUGUCCGUUAAGGUCAAGUGACAAUUCAUUGACUUUGAAACCAUGAGAAACACUCGUAGGGCCAAAGAUCCUGGUGUCUCCAAAUGUAUUUAAAGUAAGUGGUUUUGACUUAGGCAAAGAUUUCUACUUAACCCAGAAGAAAAGCAGUCACUCCUUGGAAAUACCACAGAAUUCAGGAAAGUGAAAUGAAUAAUGGCAAAGGAUUAGAUUUACCUAUUCCAGCCUGUCCAUAUAUCUACCGAGUAUAUACAGGAACAUGAUGGCUCCACUCACGUGUCAUCUGUGGACAGCCCUCCUUUCCUCAACCCAGGAGUAUGAUCCUCUCCGUCAUGCAGACAUGUCAUAACAGAGAUUAGUGGGUAUGUAAGCAUCAUGCCGCCCUC
ensembl:lncRNA